CUCUAUGGCGGUUCAGGCAGGGGAGGUUAACACCUCGCCGGAAAUGAACGCCGGUCUGCAAACCCUGUUUGAAUCGCCACCACC
rnacentral:antisense_RNA from 22 species